AAGGGUAUAGCUCAGUUGUAGAGCACGUACCUACCAUGCACGAGGUCUUGGGUUCAAUCCCCAGUACCUCCA
rnacentral:tRNA from 1 species